GAUGAAGAACGUAGCGAAAUGCGAUACGUAAUGUGAAUUGCAGAAUUCAGUGAAUCAUCGAAUCUUUGAACGCAUAUUGCGCUCUCUGGUAUUCCGGAGAGCAUGCUUGUUUGAGUAUCAGUAAACACCGCAACUUCCAUAUCUUUUUUGAAAUGGGAGUUGGACUUGAGUGAUCCCAACGCUUUUCCUCACCGAAAAGUGGCGGGUUACUUGAAAUGCAGGUGCAGCUGGACUUUUCUCUGAGCUAUAAGCAUAUCUAUUUAGUCUGCCUAAAAAACAGAUUAUUACCUUUGCUGCAGCUAACAUAAAGGAGAUUAGUUCUUGUGCUGACUGAUGCAGGAUUCACAAAGACAGGCUUCGGCCGACUUUGUAAACUCGAUCUCAAAUCAAGUAAGACUACCCGCUGAACUUAAGCAUAUCAAUAAGCGGAGGA
rnacentral:misc_RNA from 1 species